CCUACGGGAGGCAGCAGUAGGGAAUAUUGCUCAAUGGGGGAAACCCUGAAGCAGCAACGCCGCGUGGAGGAUGAAGGUUUUCGGAUUGUAAACUCCUUUUGUUAGAGAAGAUAAUGACGGUAUCUAACGAAUAAGCACUGGCCAACUCCGUGCCAGCAGCCGCGGUAAUACGGAGGGGGCAAGCGUUACUCGGAAUCACUGGGCGUAAAGAGCGCGUAGGCGGGAUAGCAAGUCAGAUGUGAAAUCCUAUGGCUUAACCGUAGAAGUGCAUUUGAAACUGUUAGUCUAGAGUAUGGGAGAGGUAGGUGGAAUUCUUGGUGUAGGGGUGAAAUGCGUAGAGAUCAAGAAGAAUACUCAUUGCGAAGGCGGCCUGCUAGAACGUAACUGACGCUGAGGCGCGAAAGCGUGGGGAGCAAACAGGAUUAGAUACCCGGGUAGUC
rnacentral:rRNA from 1 species